CUGCCCCGAGUUGAGGGUUAGGGCUAAAUUUAAGGCAUAGGUAUGUGAGUCAUCUCUUUACAAAGACAAAGGAAAGAACAUGAAAAAAAAAGUUAAAAUGGUAUCAGUGCAGGUGGGGUCUGGUCGUUGGGUGAUCCCAUGACUUUUAGACAAGAAUCAAAUGGGAUUAAGUAAAGGUCAGAAGCCACCACCCUAAAUCAGUUACAUGAGAUUGCCAGACAACAACCAACUUAAGUUCUUGCCUUCCCCAUUGAGAGUUUCUAGGGACAAGGUCAUCUCUCCUCUUCUUCCUGGUACAGAGAGGGAGGCACCUUACAAAUGUACAGAUAGAGAUUUACCUUACGAAUGUAAAUGUGUCCCAACAAGGGCAAGUUCCAUUCCCCAGAGCCUCCUUCCCUGUCCCAGUUUAUCAAAAGCAAUCAGCCCAAAACAAUCCUGAUGCCAAAGAGUCAUAUCUUGGGGUGGCCAAUUUCAGGUCCCUACAAGCUCAUCCCCCCUUCCUUCACAUAUGCAAAUGUCUCUCAAAAGGGCAAGCAAAAUUCCAGUCCUCGGAGCCUGCUUCUCAUCUGUAGUUUUAAAAGUAACCAGCCUAAAAUCCUCAUCAUAAACUGUCCAAAAAAAUUGCAAGUUUAUUGUCAAACAAAUGAUUUUUUUGCUCAAAUAGGAUGAACAACCAUUUAUUUAAAAAAUUGAUGUAAACAUUCUAAUAUUUAAAAGGUUGCAUAUCCUACAUUUUAAUUGAAAAAUUAACUAUUAAAAAUAAUUUAAGGGAUCUCAUCAAGAUGGCAGCGUGAGCAGACUUUGAACUCGUCUCCUCCUACGCACACAACCAGGUGACAACUAUUCUUGGAAAAAUUACCCCUGACUGAAAACUGAAAACUGGAUAAAAAGAACCCCCACAACAAGGGACCGUCCUGACUAAGGCAGAAGAGGCAGAAAAUCCUGCCAGAGAGGAAAAAAGCCACCUUUGGGAGCAGUGGAGCUUCUCAGCUGGCCAGGCGGGAGCCACCCUAAGUUAAUUGGAGCCAUGUGACUAGGUAGUGGCCGAUGGAAUGCCACCAAUCCCCAGUUUGACUGCCCAC
rnacentral:lncRNA from 1 species